rnacentral:misc_RNA from 1 species
AAGUCGUAACAAGGUCUCCGUUGGUGAACCAGCGGAGGGAUCAUUACAGAGUUGAAAAACUCCCAAACCAUUGUGAACAUACCUUAGUAGUUGCUUCGGCGGACGACUCCCCAGGGGGUCUACGGCCCCUCGCGGGGUGUCCGCCGGAGGACCAACCCAAACUCUUGAAUUAGUGGCCUCUCUGAGUAUUAUAUAAUAAGUUAAAACUUUCAACAACGGAUCUCUUGGUUCUG